rnacentral:tRNA from 1 species
CAGGCUGUAGCUCUGGUUGAGGAAGCGCCCGGUGCUGUUGCUAUCGGUAAUCGCCAGUUCGGCACCGCGCAGCCCGGC